GAUGAACGCUGGCGGCGUGCCUAAUACAUGCAAGUCGAGCGAAUGGAUUAAGAGCUUGCUCUUAUGAAGUUAGCGGCGGACGGGUGAGUAACACGUGGGUAACCUGCCCAUAAGACUGGGAUAACUCCGGGAAACCGGGGCUAAUACCGGAUAACAUUUUGAACCGCAUGGUUCGAAAUUGAAAGGCGGCUUCGGCUGUCACUUAUGGAUGGACCCGCGUCGCAUUAGCUAGUUGGUGAGGUAACGGCUCACCAAGGCAACGAUGCGUAGCCGGCCUGAGAGGGUGAUCGGCCACACUGGGACUGGGACACGGCCCAGACUCCUACGGGAGGCGGCAGUAGGGAAUCUUCCGCAAUGGACGAAAGUCUGACGGAGCAACGCCGCGUGAGUGAUGAAGGCUUUCGGGUCGUAAAACUCUGUUGUUAGGGAAGAACAAGUGCUAGUUGAAUAAGCUGACACCUUGACGGUACCUAACCAGAAAGCCACGGCUAACUACGUGCCAGCCGCCGCGGUAA
rnacentral:rRNA from 1 species